AUGUGGCAGAGGGAUUGUUUAUGGAGUAUGAGAAGGAGGUGGCGGAGAAGGUGUGGAGAGGCAGGAGGUCUGGGGUGGUGUCACCUGGCUGUGGUGGAGGUGUUUAUGCAAGAAGGAGCCGGAGUGGAAGGAGAGGUGGAAAACAUUGAAAUAUUGGUUGUUAUCAAGGAAAGGAAAGUUUACAAAUGUUAA
rnacentral:rRNA from 1 species